CUGGGAACUGCAUUGGUGACUGCGGCUAGAGUAUGCAGAGGAGGGUAGAAUUCACGUGUAGCAGUGAAAUGCGUAGAGAUGUGGAGGAAUACCGAUGGCGAAGGCAGCCCCUGAGCCAAUACUGACGCUCAUGCACGAAAGCGUGGAGAGCAAACAGGAUUAGAUACCCUGAGUAGUCACGCCCUAAACGAUGUCAACUAGUUGUCGAGAUCUUCAUUGACUUGAGUAACGAAGCUAACGCGUGAAGUUGACCGCCUGGAGGAGUACGGUCGCAAGAUUAAAACUCAAAGGAAUUGACGGGGACCCGCACAAGCGGUGGAUGAUGUGGAUUAAUUCGAUGCAACGCGAAAAACCUUACCUACCCUUGACAUGUACGGAACCCUGCCGAGAGGUGGGGGUGCCCGAAAGGGAGCCGUAACACAGGUGCUGCAUGGCUGUCGUCAGCUCGUGUCGUGAGAUGUUGGGUUAAGUCCCGCAACGAGCGCAACCCUUGUCCCUAGUU
rnacentral:rRNA from 1 species